UUCUUUUAGAAUUAAUUAAAAGUAAGGCCUGCCCACUGAUAAUUAUUAAAGGGCCGCAGUAUUAUGACUGUGCGAAGGUAGCAUAAUCAUUAGUUUCUUAAUUAGAGAAUGGAAUGAAUGGCUAUACAAGGAAGAUUUUUAUUAAAUAUAUACUUUGAAUUUUAAUUUAAAGUGAAAAUGCUUUAGUGAUUUAAUAAGACGAUAAGACCCUUUAGAUCUUUAUAUGAUAAUAUUGAUAAAUCGAAAUAAGUUAAAUAUUUUGCUGGGGAUGCAUAAGGAUAAUUAAAACUCCUUAAUAUUAAAUUUUAAUUAUUAAUUAGGAUCUUGAAUUUUAAAAUUUUGAAAAAGUUACCUAAGGGAUAACAGCGUUAUUAAUUCUUAGAGUUCUUAUCAAUGAAUUAGUUUGCGACCUCGAUGUUGAAUUAAAAUUUCUUUAUGUAGCAGUCUAUAUACAAGAUAGUCUGUUCGACUAUUAAAUUUUUACA
rnacentral:rRNA from 1 species